ensembl:miRNA
GGAGAUCUCUCUGUCUGGAGAGAUCUCGCUGGGGCCUCCAAAUGUUGUGGCGUGAUCAAUUCUAAGACCCACGGAGCCAAUUGAGAUGAAUUAUGAGCCUUUAUUAG